rnacentral:rRNA from 1 species
UACGAAGGGGGCUAGCGUUGUUCGGAAUUACUGGGCGUAAAGCGCACGUAGGCGGCUUUGUAAGUUAGAGGUGAAAGCCCAGGGCUCAACCCUGGAAUUGCCUUUAAGACUGCAUCGCUUGAACAUCGGAGAGGUAAGUGGAAUUCCGAGUGUAGAGGUGAAAUUCGUAGAUAUCGGGAGGAACACCAGUGGCGAAGGCGGCGACCUGGGCCAAUAUUGACGCUGAGGUGCGAAAGCGUGGGGAGCAAACAGG